GACGAACGCUGGCGGCGUGCUUAACACAUGCAAGUCGAACGGAAAGGCCCUGCUUUUGUGGGGUGCUCGAGUGGCGAACGGGUGAGUAACACGUGAGUAACCUGCCCCUGACUUUGGGAUAACUUCAGGAAACUGGGGCUAAUACCGGAUAGGAGCUCCUGCUGCAUGGUGGGGGUUGGAAAGUUUCGGCGGUUGGGGAUGGACUCGCGGCUUAUCAGCUUGUUGGUGGGGUAGUGGCUUACCAAGGAUUUGACGGGUAGCCGGCCUGAGAGGGUGACCGGACACAUUGGGAAUGAGAUACGGACCAGACUGCAACGGGAGGCAGCAGUGGGGAAUAUUGCACAAUGGGCGGAAGCCUGAUGCAGCAACGCCGCGUGCGGGAUGACGGCCUUCGGGUUGUAAACCGCUUUCGCCUGUGACGAAGCGUGAGUGACAGUAAUGGGUAAAGAAGCACCGGCUAACUACGUG
rnacentral:rRNA from 1 species